CUGAAGGAAUCUUCAUUUAGGGGACUGAUACCUUUAAGACCACUGGGAUAUAGCUCGGCUGGGGCUCUGGCAGGUGUCCAGUGCCACAGGCUGGGAGGGCUAGACAUACGGGAAAGUAAUUUGGACCAUAUUCCCCCAGGAACCCAGCUACUUGGGAGGCUGAGGCAGGAGAAUCACAUGAACCUGGGAUGCUGAGUUUGCAGUGAGCCAAGAUUGUGCCAUUGCACUCCAGCCUACGCAACAAGAGCGAAACUCCUUCUCAAAAAUAAAUAAAUAAAUAAAUAAAUAAAUAAAUAAAUAAAAUAAAAUCACAUGGUAGUAUAAUAUAUAAGGCCAUGAAGAAAACAUUUAGGGAUAGAUAAAGUGUGUUAUUUGACUGCCAACAGUAGUUGCAUGAAGCCUGCAUUCCCACAAGGAUGAUAAGUUCUAAUAACAAAACUACACGGGGAAGUAAGAAGAUAUGCUGCGUGAUUGUUUUUGGGAGAAUUGUAAUUUUCCAUAGAUACUUUCCGAUUUUGGAAUCUUGUAGACACAAGAUUCUGUGCACUUCCAGGAUCUUAUCAGUUAUAAAAUACUCAGAGCUGUUUGCCUUUCAUGUGUGUUUCACAGGACAAAUAGUUGAUAGGGUCCUCAGAUUUCCUCAGGCCUUCCCCACA
rnacentral:lncRNA from 1 species